GGGACAUUGUUGAAGGAGAGUUUGGUUGGCUUUCUACAUUAGCAUCACCAUUUCAACAGAAGAUAAAUGGGGGCACUUUUCCCAAUCCAUUUUGAGGUUUGCUUCUCAUCUUUUCAUACAAAACAGCAAGAAGGACCUUCAUGACAACUUGUGCAGGCCAUUCUUAUUCCCUGAUUUCAGCUUAUCUAAAACCACAGGACUCUUUCUUGAUCUUUUCCUUCUAUUUUCCCAUUUAUGACUUGUUUCCUUCCCAGUGUGAGUAAUGGUGGACUCCAUAUCUUGAGCUCCAACGCUACUCAUAGAGCUUCUCACCUUAGAGUGUGAGGCCAGUUGAUGUGAAGAGACAUUAUUUUUUGCUAUAUACACAGAAGGAUCAUAGACUCAAUUAGGUACCUGUGCCACCAAAAGAAAAGAGAGAGAGAAAGGAGGAGGAGGUAAUACCUGAAGAAAAAAAAACAAUGGUCAAUUUCUUGAUUUGUGUCUG
rnacentral:lncRNA from 1 species